rnacentral:lncRNA from 1 species
GCCACCCCCUUUUCCCUACACUCCUGUCAAUGUAGGGGUCAUUAAACCCACAGCAGCCAAAGGUGGUCCCACCCUUGAAGGAGCAGCCCACAAAGCAGGUCCCAGACAUCCAGAGAAGCCCAACUAUCAGUCAUCAUUUGCCCCUUCAGCACCAUCUCAGCCUUCAGUGCCUUCUCCCUUCACACCUCAGCCGGUGCCAGCAAUGUCUGUGGCACCUCACCACGUUGCCCCUUCCCAGGCCAGCACAGGUCCACAAACAAGUGUCUAUUCCAGAGGGCACCCAUAUCCACAAUACAACUUGGGCUUGAAUCCAGCAACUGUCUCAGGGCCAGCUAUGUCACCGUCUCAGCAAUUUGGACCAGUGGGAGUCAGACCCAUUGGUCCUGCUCCCUUCUCCAGCCAACCCUCUCUGCCAGGACAGUCCAUGYCCAUGACAUCUCCUGGUGUUCCACCACCCAGGCCUGCCCUCUUCACUCCAGCCUCAGUCCCGUCAUCUCAGCUUCCUCCAGCUUGUCCUCUCCCUGUGGCAAACCAGCCUCCUCUAGACUUCUCUUCAGCACCUUUCAACUGCCCCAUGAACAUGGGUUAUCCUCAGGGAGGUCCUGGAGCUCCAUCUACUAAACCACUGCCAGCAGCCAUUCCUCCUCCUCCCACAGCUCAGGAAUCUUGGAGUGAUCCCUCUACUGGAAGAGGAGGCCUUCAAAAGAAAAAGUUGCCUGAGAAAUUUACUCCUCUGGCCCCCAUCACAGCUCCAGUAAUGGGCCUNNNNNNNNNNNNNNNNNNNNNNNNNNNNNNNNNNNNNNNNNNNNNCCCAAGGGAUCCAUCCUCAGCUAUCCAGGUUGCAAGAAUCUGGCCAGUCACCCCCAGGAGCACCCAAGGAAGGCAGCCUACAGUAUCACCAGCUACCUGGGGAAAGCAUUGA